rnacentral:rRNA from 1 species
GCGGACGGCUCAGUAACACGUAGUCAACCUAACUCGUGGACGUGGAUAACCUCGGGAAACUGAGAAUAAACCACGAUAGAUCAUAAUGCCUGGAAUGGCUUAUGGUCCAAACAGUUUACUGCCAUGGGAUGGGACUGCGGCCUAUCAGCUUGUUGGUGAGGUAAUGGCCCACCAAGGCGAUUACAGGUACGGGCUCUGAGAGGAGAAGCCCGGAGAUGGGUACUGAGACACGGACCCAGGCCCUAUGGGGCGCAGCAGGCGAGAAACCUUAGCAAUGUGCGAAAGCACGACUGGGUCAGUCCGAGUGAUUCCUGAUAAAGGAGUCUUUUGCUUGUCCUAAAAGCACAGGUGAAUAAGGGGUGGGCAAGUCUGGUGUCAGCCGCCGCGGUAAUACCAGCACCUCGAGUGGUCAGGACGUUUAUUGGGCCUAAAGCAUCCGUAGCCGGCUUUGCAAGUCUUCGGUUAAAUCCACCUGCUCAACAGAUGGGCCGCUGGAGAUACUACAGAGCUAGGGAGUGGGAGAGGCAGACGGUAUUCAGUGGGUAGGGGUAAAAUCCUCUGAUCCAUUGAGGACCACCAGUGGCGAAGGCGGUCUGCCAGAACACGUUCGACGGUGAGGGAUGAAAGCUGGGGGAGCAAACCGGAUUAGAUACCCGGGUAGUCCCAGCUGUAAACGAUGCAAACUCGGUGAUGCAUUGGCUUAUGGCCA